GCGCCCAUAGCUCAACUGGAUAGAGCGUCUGGCUACGGACCAGAAGGUUGCGGGUUCAAGUCCUACUGGGCGCGCCA
rnacentral:tRNA from 1 species